UACAGAGGCCUCGAGCGUUAAUCGGAAUCACUGGGCUUAAAGGGUGCGUAGGCGGGUCCGUAAGUGCCUUGUGAAAUCCCAUGGCUUAACCAUGGAACGGCUGGGCAGACUGCGGGCCUUGAGGUCGGUAGGGGCUGCUGGAACGGUUGGUGGAGCGGUGAAAUGCGUAGAUAUCAACCGGAACGCCAAAGGUGAAGACAGGCAGCUGGGCCGAUUCUGACGCUGAGGCACGAAAGCGUGGGGAGCAAACGGG
rnacentral:rRNA from 1 species